GUAGGGGGCUAGCGUUGUCCGGAAUCACUGGGCGUAAAGGGUUCGCAGGCGGAAUAACAAGUCAGAUGUGAAAGGCAUGGGCUCAACCCAUGUAAGCAUUUGAAACUGUAAUUCUUGAGAAGUGGAGAGGUAAGUGGAAUUCCUAGUGUAGCGGUGAAAUGCGUAGAUAUUAGGAGGAAUACCUGUGGCGAAGGCGACUUACUGGACACAAAUCUGACGCUGAGGAACGAAAGCGUGGGUAGCAAACAGGGAUUAGAUACCCUGGUAGUCCACGCCGUAAACGAUGAGUGCUAGGUGUCGGGGGAGACCUCGGUGCCCGGCGUUAACACAAUAAGCACUCCGCCUGGGGGGGUACGUGCGCAAGCAUG
rnacentral:rRNA from 1 species